rnacentral:rRNA from 1 species
GAUGAACGCUGGCGGCGUGCCUAAUACAUGCAAGUCGAGCGAACAGACGAGGAGCUUGCUCCUCUGACGUUAGCGGCGGACGGGUGAGUAACACGUGGAUAACCUACCUAUAAGACUGGGAUAACUUCGGGAAACCGGAGCUAAUACCGGAUAAUAUAUUGAACCGCAUGGUUCAAUAGUGAAAGACGGUUUUGCUGUCACUUAUAGAUUGAUCCGCGCCGCAUUAGCUAGUUGGUAAGGUAACGGCUUACCAAGGCAACGAUGCGUAGCCGACCUGAGAGGGUGAUCGGCCACACUGGAACUGAGACACGGUCCAGAAUCCUACGGGAGGCAGCAGUAGGGAAUCUUCCGCAAUGGGCGAAAGCCUGACGGAGCAACGCCGCGUGAGUGAUGAAGGUCUUCGGAUCGUAAAACUCUGUUAUUAGGGAAGAACAAAUGUGUAAGUAACUAUGCACGUCUUGACGGUACCUAAUCAGAAAGCCACGGCUAACUACGUG